rnacentral:rRNA from 1 species
UUAUCCUACGGGGGGCAGCAGUGGGGGAUAUUGCACAAUGGGGGAAACCCUGAUGCAGCGACGCCGCGUGAGCGAUGAAGUAUUUCGGUAUGUAAAGCUCUGUCUUCAGGGACGAUAAUGACGGUACCUGAGGAGGAAGCCACGGCUAACUACGUGCCAGCAGCCGCGGUAAUACGUAGGUGGCGAGCGUUGUCCGGAUUUACUGGGCGUAAAGGGAGCGUAGGCGGACUUUUAAGUGAGAUGUGAAAUACUCGGGCUCAACUUGAGUGCUGCAUUUCAAACUGGAAGUCUAGAGUGCAGGAGAG